GGUGCCUUGGCGGAGAGGCUACGCAACGGUCUGCAAAACCGUGUACACGGGUUCGAAUCCCGUAGGUACCU
rnacentral:tRNA from 1 species